ensembl:lncRNA
UUUAGUAAUAUUUAAUUUUAGUAAAUCAAGUUAAACUAGCCUAAAUUAAAAUAAGAAAUAUAUAUAGGCCGCGAAGAUUCCUGCAUCCAUUCAGGUGACGUAAUGAUUUGUAGCUGUUUGCGUAAUUGUUUUUGUUUAUAUUUGAAAUUCAAUUCAAUAUUCAAUCGAAACAUUCCAAGCAAGGCAGACGCAAGCCACAAACAAGAAAAUCACGAUAAGAGAAAGCUAAAUUAUCACCAUGUCUGGAGAUAAAUGUAAAACAAGACCGUGUGAUAAGACAUCUAGAACAAAACCUCAGCGUUUUUGGGACGCAUUAGGACCAUUUCCCAGGUCAGUGUGGAUUCAUCCCAGUACACCAGAAGACAGUCUGGACAGAACCUGUGGUAGAGUAUUGAAGCGCUCUGUUCUGGCCAGUAAGGGAGUUUGGCCGCAUUUACCAGAAAAUGCGCAUGUGUUUGCUGAAGACGGUGACAUCCAGAGCAACAGAGGACAUUACAGCAGUCUGUCCACUCCGAGCGCAGGGCAUCAAAAGUUGGACAAGGUCAUGUUAAUGACUCAGCAUAACAUGACCCAGACUCUACUGCAGGGGCAUGUUGAUGCCAUGUGUCCAUGUUUUCCUGAUGAUAGAUGCAGACAUGGUCAUGAACCUGACAAGACCAUAGAGAUCAUAAGCCACGAGGAGGCUGACAGAGAUAAAACUGAGGAGAUGCUUGAAGAAAUUCAACCUAAACAGGCCACAGGGAAAGCAGACAUCCCUGAGGGGCCCUUGGAAGAAGACUUUCCUCCACUUCCACCUCCUGCCUCACCACGGGUGGACAGGCCACCACAGCAAGCCCCCGUCAGUAAAAGUGGCUCCUAUAAAGCAACUGUCUUAAAAGGAAAACCAAAGAUCCAAUUGCAUGGCGGCAAACCACAGAGGGCACAAAAACUAAAUCAAAAAGAACAUCCAAGAGUCUCAGCUAAAACAUCCCCAAAAAUAGAAGCACAAACAGCCCAGGGCUUCAUUGACCAACCUAGUUCCCCCCAAACAGAAAGUGGAUGCGGAGAGAAAGUUAUAGUGGAAGAACAAAGUUCAUUACCAAGGUGUUCCCAUCUACCUGUGUUUGCAGACUUCCAAAUGGCAGAUGAGAAGAUAAUACCUAAAGAUAACACAUUUAAAGGUGAAGACGUGGAGUUGGGCAGAAGUGCAGAUGGUGCCCACAUGGCACAAACCCGGGCUGGCAGCGGGACUGGGAGCGUGCAGAAUGCAGCUGGGCCUCUUCACAAUGCCAAAUGCCAUAAAUACCACGAGGAUGCCACUGUUGCAAAGACAAAGGCCACAGGUCCAGGCUCUGACAUGUCAGUGCCAGAAAAUAUGGACAGGAUCCAGACUUGGAACAGAAGUGGAAGGUGUCCCCUACAAAACACCCAGUUCUUUACAGGAACGGGUCAUGGCACGUGGUCACUGCCGGCUAACUGCUUCCUGUGGUUCCCUGCACCUGAGGUGGACCCCUUGCAUAUGGUUGUCAACCCUCUAUUUUCCUCCAGUUUUCUGCCUCCCCCAGGAUUUGGCCUGAAUCCAUACUAUAUUGUUGGAGACUUCUCCCUGUGGCCUUAUCAACAUGGCAACUAUGUCAAUUUUCCAGACAAUGUAAACCCGUCAGCAGCGGGCAGACAGCGCUUCACGUGCCUGGCAAAUGUUCCUCCAGGGUUCACAUCGGCAGAUGCCUUCACAUUGUUCUGACAACCUGUUUUGUUCUACUCUUUUUGUUGUUUUGGCUCUUUUUACUGUUUCUGUUAAUCAUAAGUUGUCAUGUACUCCAUAUUGUAUAUGGACAGUAAAGCAGUUACCUCAGAUAAAAUGUGUUGUGUGAGCAUUUUAUUUUUAAGCAUGUAGGCUUCUCUAUCUGAAGGCUGUAAUUUGUAGGUCUGUCAUAUAUACAACAAAGCCAUUACAUCAAGGUAAUUCACUGGGAGAAAACAAGAUGGAAAUAAAUCAUAAACAGACAUUGAAAAAAAAAUUAUA